UGCGUUUAAGAAGUGGUAAAAUAGCCAUAAACGACGAACGACGAACAUGGAGAGAACCAUAGACGGGGAUGGCGAAUAUGAAUCCGCCAGAAACUCAGAAUUCUCAAAACCUAUCAACUAGCAACAUAGUGCCUCCUUCUUCUUCGAUAGGGGCAAAUACGGGCACGACGCAUGCGUCCGAUAUAGUUUCGUCUAUGGUGACCUCUGAACCAAUUCUGACUUAUGUUGGACCUAGG
rnacentral:lncRNA from 1 species